GGGCCGUUAGCUCAGUUGGUAGAGCAGCUGACUCUUAAUCAGCGGGUCCAAGGUUCGAGUCCUUGACG
rnacentral:tRNA from 1 species